rnacentral:rRNA from 1 species
GAUGAACGCUAGCGGCAGGCUUAACACAUGCAAGUCGAGGGGUAGAAGUUGCUUGCAACUUUGAGACCGGCGCACGGGUGCGUAACACGUAUGCAAUCUACCUUAUACAGAGGGAUAGCCCAGAGAAAUUUGGAUUAAUACCUCAUAGUAUAAUUGAAUGGCAUCAUUUAAUUAUUAAAGUUCCAACGGUAUAAGAUGAGCAUGCGUCCUAUUAGCUAGAUGGUAAGGUAACGGCUUACCAUGGCAACGAUAGGUAGGGGUCCUGAGAGGGAGAUCCCCCACACUGGUACUGAGACACGGACCAGACUCCUACGGGAGGAAGGAGUGAGGAAUAUUGGACAAUGGGCGCAAGCCUGAUCCAGCCAUGCCGCGUGCAGGAAGAAGCAUCUAUGGUGUGUAAACUGCUUUUGUACGGGAAGAAACACCCCUUCGUGAAGGGACUUGACGGUACCGUAAGAAUAAGGAUCGGCUAACUCCGUGCCAGCCGCCGCAGUAA